AUUUGACCUUAGUACAAGGAGAUAAUGAAAGAACCUAGUGGGGAAACCCCCACUCAACUCCCGAUUCAGCAUGCACCCAAGAAUCACAAAGAGACAA
rnacentral:pre_miRNA from 7 species